GACGUCGAAUAUCGACGUCAUAAACACCAAAGUUGAUCAUGUUUAUGACGUCGAAUAUCGACGUCAUCAACACCAAACUGGUUCGUGUUUGUGACGUCGAAUAUCGACGUCAUAAACACCAAACUUGAUCGUGUUUACGACGUCGAAUAUCGACGUCAUAAACAGCAAACUUGUUCGUGUUUAUGACGUCGAAUAUCGAUGUC
rnacentral:miRNA from 1 species